AAAAAAAGAGGGAGGGACGCAAAGCCAGGACUGGAGCGUAGGUGGGAUGGGAUGAGAACAGUCCCCCUCCCCCAAACAGAAGAGAGAUCCUUGGCAACCGGACAGGGUCCUGGAGCUGACCAGGCUGCAGGAGCGGAGGAGAGAUGACCCUGUCUCAUUCUGCAGCAGUCUGGCCUGGAACUACAGAACCCAGGCUGGACUCAAACAAGUGGCAAUCCUCCUGCUUCAGCCUCCUGAGUUCUGGAAUAUCAGGUAACACAUCCCUUUACUUCUUGACUGAGCAGUACAUUUCUACAGUACAUAAAUUACCAAACCUUGGGCAUUUUCUUAUAGCAACAGGAACGACAACAGCGACCGCCAGCCAUAGGUGUCAAGAUGUGGUUGACUUUUUUCUUUGGUGGGAGAAGCAGCCAUCUGGGCUUCCAGGCUUUCUGAAGUUCCCUUGCCUUCUCUCUUCUUCAACACUGCAGAUCCAGGCCCGAGCUGCCCAGGUGGCCGAAGCUAGUCUGACUUGGUUACUCUCAGGUCUUCAGUCAGCAGUUUGAGCUAGCCUUGGGUCCCAGCCACUGUCUUCCCAGGGCUAACGAAUCCCUGGAGCCAAGAGAAACUGUUUUUCCUUUUUUGUCCCCAGUUUGCAUCAGCCCCCACUUUGCAGGAGAACCAUGCUUUGAAGGCAGAGGGAGGCCUUUUUUCUCCUGAGUCUCCUGUUUGGUUUGUUUUUCCUGGCAGGAUUUGUGUAGCUCUGGCUGUCCUGGAACUCGCUCUACAGACUAGGCUGGUCUCGAACUCAGAGACUUGUCUGCCUCUACCCCUCAAGUGCUGGGAUUAAAGGCAUGGGCUACCACUGACCAGAUCCUUUUAUUAUUAUCUUAUAUUCAUAAAAUCAUGGGUUUUAUGGUGACAUUUUCAUAAACAUAUAUGUUGAUCUCGCUUGCCUCUCAAAUCUGGCCGUGGUGGCACACACCUGCAGGCUCAGCUUUUAGGACCUGAGGAGGCCAGAAGCUGAAGGGGGAAACAAUGUCCCCAUCAUCUCCUUCCUCCCAUUGUCCCCAUUCUUCCUCUCCAAGAAGCUCUGGACAUACACAAGCGUGCACAUGCAUGCACGUGAACACACACACACCAGUGUAAAUAGAAUAAAAAAGGAAAGGAAAUAUUAAAACAAGACCAGAAAGACGUCAAGUCAGGCAGUCCCAGAGGUUCUGGGCUUGCAACUCAUGGGCAGUGACAGGGUCACAGGGUCCCCCAGGCCCUACCAAGCCACCUUUGCAGAUUCACCACCCUUUGUGUGGCUAGGAGUAAAUCUGUGGCUGACAUCCGUUCCUUACUCUGACUCUGAGAAGUGGG
ensembl:lncRNA